rnacentral:rRNA from 1 species
GACGAACGCUGGCGGCGUGCUUAACACAUGCAAGUCGAGCGGUAAGGCCCUUUCGGGGGUACACGAGCGGCGAACGGGUGAGUAACACGUGGGUGACCUGCCCUCAGCUCUGGGAUAAGCCUGGGAAACCGGGUCUAAUACUGGAUAUGACUCCAUGACGCAUGUUGUGGGGUGGAAAGCCUUGUGCGGCUGAGGAUGGGCCCGCGGCCUAUCAGCUUGUUGGUGGGGUGANGGCCUACCAAGGCGACGACGGGUAGCCGGCCUGAGAGGGCGACCGGCCACACUGGGACUGAGACACGGCCCAGACUCCUACGGGAGGCAGCAGUGGGGGAAUCUUGCGCAAUGGGCGAAAGCCUGACGCAGCGACGCCGCGUGAGGGAUGACGGCCUGGUU